rnacentral:rRNA from 1 species
UGUGCCAGCAGCCGCGGUAAUACAGAGGGUGCGAGCGUUAAUCGGAUUUACUGGGCGUAAAGCGUGCGUAGGCGGCUUUUUAAGUCGGAUGUGAAAUCCCCGAGCUUAACUUGGGAAUUGCAUUCGAUACUGGGAAGCUAGAGUAUGGGAGAGGAUGGUAGAAUUCCAGGUGUAGCGGUGAAAUGCGUAGAGAUCUGGAGGAAUACCGAUGGCGAAGGCAGCCAUCUGGCCUAAUACUGACGCUGAGGUACGAAAGCAUGGGGAGCAAACAGGAUUAGAUACCCUGGUAGUCCAUGCCGUAAACGAUGUCUACUAGCCGUUGGGGCCUUUGAGGCUUUAGUGGCGCAGCUAACGCGAUAAGUAGACCGCCUGGGGAGUACGGUCGCAAGACUAAAACUCAAAUGAAUUGACGGGGGCCCGCACAAGCGGUGGAGCAUGUGGUUUAAUUCGAUGCAACGCGAAGAACCUUACCUGGCCUUGACAUACUAGAAACUUUCCAGAGAUGGAUUGGUGCCUUCGGGAAUCUAGAUACAGGUGCUGCAUGGCUGUCGUCAGCUCGUGUCGUGAGAUGUUGGGUUAAGUCCCGCAACGAGCGCAACCCUUUUCCUUACUUGCCAGCAUUUCGGAUGGGAACUUUAAGGAUACUGCCAGUGACAAACUGGAGGAAGGCGGGGACGACGUCAAGUCAUCAUGGCCCUUACGGCCAGGGCUACACACGUGCUACAAUGGUCGGUACAAAGGGUUGCUACCUAGCGAUAGAUGCUAUCUCAAAAGCCGAUCGUAGUCCGGGAUUGGAGUCUGCACUCGACUCCAUGAGUCGGAUCGCUAGUAAUCGCGGAUC